rnacentral:rRNA from 1 species
UAGGGAAUCUUCUGCAAUGGACGAAAGUCUGACCGAGCAACGCCGCGUGCGUGAAGAAGGUUUUCGUAUCGUAAAACUCUGUUGUUAGAGAAGAACAAGGACGUUAGUAACUGAACGUCCCCUGACGGUAUCUAACCAGAAAGCCACGGCUAACUACGUGCCAUCAGCCGCGGUAAUACGUAGGUGGCAAGCGUUGUCCGGAUUUAUUGGGCGUAAAGCGAGCGCAGGCGGUUUCUUAAGUCUGAUGUGAAAGCCCCCGGCUAAAACGGGGAGGGUAAGUGGAAACUGGGAGACUUGAGUGCAGAAGAGGAGAGGGGAAUUCCAUGUGUAGCGGGGAAAUGCGGAGAUAUAUGGAGGAACAACAGUGGAGAAGGCGGAUCGCUGGUAUGUAACUGACGAGGAGGAAAGAAAGAGUGGGGAGCAAACAGG